rnacentral:rRNA from 1 species
ACCUACGGGAGGCAGCAGUAGGGAAUUUUCGUCAAUGGGCGCAAGCCUGAACGAGCAAUGCCGCGUGAACGAGGAAGGUCUUCGGAUCGUAAAGUUCUGUUGAAGGGGAAAAAGAGCGGAGAGAGGAAAUGCUUUCUGAUUGAUAUUACCCUUCGAGGAAGUCACGGCUAACUACGUGCCAGCAGCCGCGGUAAUACGUAGGUGGCGAGCGUUAUCCGGAAUGAUUGGGCGUAAAGGGGGCGUAGGCGGCCUGCUAAGUCUGGAGUGAAAGGUACCGGCUCAACCGGUACAGGCUCUGGAAACUG